CGCCGAAGAAGAAGAUAAUAGGUUGAGUGAUGAGGAGUUCAGUAAUUGAGAACAUCAUCUCUUUUAUUACACUAAUGAGAAACCUUUGACCGACAGGAAAUAUGACCAAACGCUCGAGGAGAUAACUUACAGAAUUACUCAUGGAUUACCAAAGAAAAAGAAAACUCUCUUUUAUCACUAUUGGAUUAAUAUUUCUGUUAAGUGGAAUUGAAUAUGCUGUUAUUCUUCCCACUAUAUGGCGAUAUCUGCAGUUGUUAGAGGCACCUCCUUAUUUUCUUGGUUUGGGUCUGUCUGCGUUCAGCUUCAGUGGUCUGGUGACAGGUCCAGUGUUUGGGCACUGGUCAGAUAGGAUUAAAACUACAAAAAACAUCAUCCUCUUCUCCAAUGUGUUUGAAAUUGUGGGAAACUUCAUGUAUUUUAUUGGAUAUUCAAAAUGGCUUCUGUUGUCCAGUCGUCUUGUUGCAGGAAUUGGUGCAGGUGCUGGUUCCUCCAUAUUUGGGUUCCUCACACGGACCACCCUCCCUGAUGAACGUGCUAGAGUCUUUGCUGCUGUUAUGGCAUGUCGUCAGGCUGGACUUCUGAUUGGGCCUGCUUUUAAUAUCUUUCUGAGAUUGUGUGAUUUCAAACUGGGUCCUUUCGUUGUAAAUAAGUAUACCUCACCUGGGCUCUUCAUGUGCGCAAUGUGGCUGCUCAUGCAGUUUGCAGUGAUGGGGCUUUACUGGGACAUCCCACCACUGGGCUCCAUCACUGAGCAUCACACUCCCCUCACAGAGGUCAAGCGUGAGGAGCAGGAGCCUCUUAUGAGCCUGGAGGAUGAAGACGGAGCCGCAGGUAUGGACUCGUACAGCUCACACAACCCAGAGCAGACAGAGACCCAACUGUCAUCGGAAAGCCCAUCUCCUCCUCCAACAACAUCUAACCCGUUUGAUAACUUCAGUGCAAGCCAUGAGUUUCUUCGGGAGGAGGUGGUGGUCCUCCUCACUGCUCAGUUCAUCACUCUCUUCAAUCAGACUGCACUUGAGACCAUGGUGACCCCUCUGACGCAGAAAAAUUUUGGCUUUGGUGAACUGGGGAACAGUGUGAUGUACAGCCUGUGUGGUGUGGAGGUAAUUGCGGGCUUCUUCCUGGUGCGCUGGCUGAGCCGUGUGCUGGAGGACCGGGUGGUGCUGGCGGUGGGGCUGCUCAUCUGCAGUGGCGCUUGCGUUUGGUGCCUUAUCUUCCUUGCCAAUCCACAGGGUGGUUUUGCAUUUGUGUUGAUGGAGUUCAUCAUUGGAGUGUUCCUGCAGUUACUGGGACUGCCUUUCGUCGCCGUCUCUCAGGUUUCCCUUUUUUCUAAGGUGACAGCUGAAAAGACACAAGGCUUUAGUCAGGGUGUGAGGCGUUCAGUCGGGGGCCUCGCCACCAUCCUCGGUCCUCUGUGGGCGGGUGGAUUAAUAGGAAAUCUAUAUGUGAUGUUGGGUAUGAUGAUGCUUCUGCUGACCCUCAUCAUGAUCAUGAUGGCGUUGUCCUAUGACAAGCUGGUGGAGCCGCCCAAGGUUGAGCACGCAGAGGACUCCGAAAAUUAAGGAUAGAAACCACAAUUCAUGUCAUAGGAUACAGAGCAAAAGCCCUUUUCUCUCUGCGGUACGUCUGACUGUGUGGCUGUAUGGAGCAGAUGCUGCAGCAGUGGGAGAUAAGAGACCCUGCCAGGAUCAGCAGACCGCGAACAGGCGUGCACACACAUUACAUUUGAUGCCAUGCUUUUGACAGAUUGACUGAAUUAACACAAGGGACCCUGGAUGCAUCUUUACACUUUCUCUUGUCAUGAGGUGCUCGGCCCACUUGACCUCCAGUGGAUGUGUAACUGAUGUAGUCUGGGAAGAAACCUGCUUGGAAACUUGGUCUUUGACUCACAUCUACACACACACAAUAUUGAUUCGGCUCUGACACUGAAACUGAUGAAGAAUUGAGGCAGUCAUGGCCACAGUAUCUGCCUGCCUCUGUACUGUAUUUGAGGAUUAUUGGGACACGAUGUAGGUGCAUGAUCAAUGCGUGCAUCCCUCGGUAAAAAAGCCAAGCUAAAUCCUGCCUUGAAACUAGUAUCCUGUAACAAAAAACAGCCUUGUUUUUGCCAAGCCGCAAUUUGUUUUAAAUAUAAAAUUAAUAUCCAUCAAAGCAUUAAAUUACAAGGAAAGGGCAGACUAAUUGUCUGUAUGCAUUUAUUUUUGCCAAAUAUGCAAACAACAGAUUUAUAAACCAUCGAAAAUGUAAUUAAAAAUCUGAUGCAAAACCUAUGAAUUCUUCGAUCCAAG